AUUGAACGCUGGCGGCAUGCUUUACACAUGCAAGUCGAACGGCAGCGCGGGCUUCGGCCUGGCGGCGAGUGGCGAACGGGUGAGUAAUACAUCGGAACGUGCCCAGUAGUGGGGGAUAGCUCGGCGAAAGCCGGAUUAAUACCGCAUACGACCUGAGGGUGAAAGCGGGGGAUCUUCGGACCUCGCGCUAUUGGAGCGGCCGAGGGCAGGUUAGCUAGUUGGUGGGGUAAAGGCCUACCAAGGCGACGAUCUGUAGCUGGUCUGAGAGGACGACCAGCCACACUGGGACUGAGACACGGCCCAGACUCCUACGGGAGGCAGCAGUGGGGAAUUUUGGACAAUGGGCGAAAGCCUGAUCCAGCAAUGCCGCGUGUGUGAUGAAGGCCUGCGGGUUGUAAAGCACUUUUGGCGGGAACGAAAAGGACUGUGCCAAUACCACGGUUCGAUGACGGUACCCGUAGAAUAAGCACCGGCUAACUACGU
rnacentral:rRNA from 1 species